AACCGUAGUUUUAUAACAGGGAUAUUUUAAACUAGUAGAGAUGAUAUUUAUAAUUUUGUCAUAUUUUAUUACUGAAAUAUUUUUACGGUUUAAAUUUGUCGAAUCCAAAUUCUGUAAACAAACGAUUGAAAUUCUAAAAAAUGGCCCGUGUGAAAACGAGCAGUUUAUUUCCCGUCGAAUUCGAAUCUGUUUUCAAUAAAACUCCUUUCGCUUGACUUCGUCGAUCCAGUUGAUCGGUGGAGAAUCGAUGUAAAUCGUUAUACUGAG